rnacentral:rRNA from 1 species
GUAUUCCGCUCCAUAGCGUAUAUUAAAGUUGUUGCAGUUAAAAAGCUCGUAGUUGAAUUUCGGGGUUAGUAGGCUGGUCAUGCCACCGGUAUGUACUGGUCUUUCUGAUUCCUCCUUCCUGAUGAACUGUAAUGCCAUUAAUUUGGUGUUGCAGGGAAUCUGGACUGUUACUUUGAAAAAAUUAGAGUGUUUAAAGCAGGCUAACGCUUGAAUACAUUAGCAUGGAAUAAUGAAAUAGGACGUUCGAUCCUAUUUUGUUGGUUUCUAGGAUUGACGUAAUGAUUAAUAGGGAUAGUUGGGGGCAUUAGUAUUCAAUUGUCAGAGGUGAAAUUCUUGGAUUUAUUGAAGACUAACUACUGCGAAAGCAUUUGCCAAGGAUGUUUUCAUUAAUCAAGAACGAAAGUUAGGGGAUCGAAGACGAUCAGAUACCGUCGUAGUCUUAACCAUAAACUAUGCCGACUAGGGAUCGGAUGAUGUUAAUUUUUUAAUGACUCAUUCGGCGCCUUACGGGAAACA